UCUUUUGUAUUCAAAGAAAAAUUCAAACUCUUUACAUAUGUAUAACGACUUGUGUAAACAAAAAGCCUGUAACUAAGCCUGUAAUUCAAAGCCUGUAUACGAAUUAAUCAAGUGUCCUUUUUUUUAUACUUUUGAGAACUUAGUAUACACAGAUCUUUACAUACUUUGUAAAGUCAAAAACGGAAAAAAGAAAAGAAAGAAUUAGUGUUCAAAACUAAAAGAGAAGAACAAUGUGUUCAUUAGUGUCCAGGUCCUCUCUUGCUCGGCCCAGACGCUAAUCGGAAAGUCAAGCUCCUCAUCAAACGAAUCCUCGAGCUGUUCGCGGCAACAGUAGGCGAGAUCAAGUUAAAGGCACCGCCGUCUACGGCGGCCAAUCGAUUACAGCCGUUAGUCUGCUCUUUUCGUAGGGCUCGGCAAUCAACUCCCGAAAUAAUCGAGGACAUCUCCACUGAAAAGAUGAUGAAUAACACAAUCAGAAUCUUUUUCUCCAUAUUGAUCUUUUACUUCACUUCAGAAUCUUUUUCUCUAAGAAUGUUGGCUUUGUGAAACGAGUUGUUGUGUUAUGAGAUGAAGGGCUAGUGUGUAUGUAUUUAUAGUUGUGUACGUGUAGCAAAGGGCAUUUACUGACCAGGAAUUAGAUAAUAGACUAAUUGCAUUUGGACUAAUUAGUAUAUAUAGUAUAAGUAUUCUUUAUGGGCAUUGAAUAUUUCAG
rnacentral:lncRNA from 1 species